GGGUGGAACUUGUGUAAUAUUUGGUCUAUUUUAUUCCAAUUGCACUUGUCCCGGCCUGC
rnacentral:pre_miRNA from 1 species